rnacentral:snRNA from 1 species
AGCUUUGCGCAGUGGCAGUAUCGUAGCCUAUGAGGUUAAACCGAGGCGUGAUUAUUGCUAAUUGAAAACUUUACCCAAUACCCCGCCGUGACGACUUGAAAUAUAGUCGGCACUGGCAAUUUUUGACGGUCUUUACGGAGG